GAACGCUGGCGGCGCGCCUAACACAUGCAAGUCGAGCGGGGUGCAGGGGCAACUCUGCACCGAGCGGCGGACGGGUGCGUAACACGUGGGCAACCAACCCCGGAGACCGGGAUAACGCUUCGAAAGGAGUGCUAAUACCGGGUGACCCGAGCGGAUCGAAUGUUCUGUUCGGGAAAGGUCGCAAGACGCUCCGGGACGGGCCCGCGGCCCAUCAGCUAGUUGGCGGGGUAACGGCCCACCAAGGCGACGACGGGUAGCUGGUCUGAGAGGACGACCAGCCACACUGGAACUGAGACACGGUCCAGACUCCUACGGGAGGCAGCAGUGGGGAAUCUUGCGCAAUGGGCGAAAGCCUGACGCAGCGACGCCGCGUGUGCGAUGAAGGUCUUCGGAUCGUAAAGCACUGUCGCGGGGGACGAUGAAAAGGACGGUACCCCGAGAGGAAGCACCGGCUAACUCUGUGCCAGCAGCCGCGGUAAUACAGAGGGUGCGAGCGUUGUUCGGAAUUACUGGGCGUAAAGCGCAUGUAGGCGGCGCGGCAGGUCGCGUGUGAAAUCCCCCGGCUCAACCGGGGAAGUGCGCGCGAAACCGUCGUGCUUGAGUGCCGGAGAGGGUCGCGGAAUUCCCGGUGUAGAGGUGAAAUUCGUAGAUAUCGGGAGGAACACCAGAGGCGAAGGCGGCGACCUGGACGGACACUGACGCUGAGACGCGAAAGCGUGGGGAGCAAACAGGAUUAGAUACCCUGGUAGUCCACGCCGUAAACGAUGGAUGCUAGCUGUGGGGGGAGUUGACCCCUUCCGUGGCGACGCCAACGCAAUAAGCAUCCCGCCUGGGGAGUACGGCCGCAAGGCUAAAACUCAAAG
rnacentral:rRNA from 1 species